GAUGAACGCUGGCGGCGUGCCUAAUACAUGCAAGUCGAGCGAAUGGAUUAAGAGCUUGCUCUUAUGAGGUUAGCGGCGGACGGGUGAGUAACACGUGGGUAACCUGCCCAUAAGACUGGGAUAACUCCGGGAAACCGGGGCUAAUACCGGAUAACAUUUUGAACCGCAUGGUUCGAAAUUGAAAGGCGGCUUCGGCUGUCACUUAUGGAUGGACCCGCGUCGCAUUAGCUAGUUGGUGAGGUAACGGCUCACCAAGGCAACGAUGCGUAGCCGACCUGGGGGGUGGAGCGGCGACACUGGGACUGAGACCCGGCCCAGACUCCUACGGGAGGCAGCAGUGCGGAAUAUUGCACAAUGGACGAAAGUCUGACGGAGCAACGGCGCGUGAGUGAUGAAGGCUUUCGGGUCGUAAAACGCUGUUGUUAGGGAAGAACAAGUGCUAGUUGAAUAAGCUAGCACCUUGACGGUACCUAACCAGAAAGCCACGGCUAACUACGUGCCAGCCGCCGCCGUAA
rnacentral:rRNA from 1 species